UGAAGGGGUGUCUUCCAGCACGUGCUCCCUCUGCUUUGAAGCAAUGAUCCCACAAAUUCUUCAGGGUAGCCAUCUCUGCCUGUAGCAUGCAUUUAGCCCCUGAAGGGCCUGUGAGUGCCCUGGAAACAGGCCUCCCUCCACCUGGGCACAUGCAGCACAGCUCCAGAGUGCAGGCUUUGUGCCCGCAGGAGGCUGGACCUGGUCCCACCCACCUGGGGAUCCCACACCCUGUGCUGUGAGCAGGUCAGCAUAUUGGGCCCUUGUGCUUGAUGUGGUCCAUUUGGACUGGGUCACCUCAGAUAAGCUGGGAGGACUCUUCCUGGAAUCCCCUUGGCUGCAUCUUUCCAAGAAAGCAGGGCCCAAAGAGGCGUGUGUGCGGUGUUUGGAGAGUGGCAGUGGCGCGGUUGCUGUGUCUGCGGUACAGCAGACCUGCUGCUCACCAUGCUCCUGUGUCGGCAGCAGGCGUCCCAGUCCCUCUUCCCUGACACGCUCCUCUGCAGCUUUUCCUGCUGCUUAGCUAGGUGCAUGCUUGGGGGAAAGGAGGCCAGCGUCCCCUUCGGAUCCCACUGCUCAGCUAGGUGCAUGCGUGGGGGAAAGGAGGCCAACAUCCCCUUCAGAUCACAUAUCCCAUGUGGUCAGGGGCCAGGAGGCAUGAAAGACCACGAAGGCCCCAGUCCACUGCUGCAGGUUCUCCCGUCCCUGCGGCCCCACCUUGUCCUUGCUCUCCCACCUCUGGCUGUCUUUCCUGUGACCUCAGGCGCAUGAGGAGCCACAGCUUCAUACACAGCAUAAGCAGUGCUCACAACUGCAUAAGGUCGCAGCCCUAGAAUAAAUCCGUCAUCAUACAUAUGUCCCAGUGCAUCUGACUCUGAUGGACGGGCCCCUGCUCGCCUCCCCAGCACGACGUCCACAGGAAAGAUGCGCUGCCUGUUCGUCUCUCCACUUUUCCUGUUGCUGCUCGUGCAGAAAACCAGCGUGGCACCCAUCAUAAUGGGUUCUAAUUUGCUGCGACUAAGGCCAGAAACUAUGUUUAGGACGUGGGCACUUGAAUGGAGCUCUUUGAAGUAGAAGCACCAUAUAAAUCUAAGAAAAGAAAUGUAAAAGGCAACUCCAGUCAUGUGCAACUCUCCUCCCUCGCUAGUGAAAGAAACCCAAUCUGGCAGUCAUUUUUCCUCUUUGGUUGUUUUCCAGCCAUGGCUUCCUCCCUUUCAUCUAACACUAAACUCCAUUUAGAUCAGUUGGUGUAAAUGCACAUUGAAAAUAUAGCAAUGCUUCUUUUAAUGAAACCACCGCAUUCUAAUGAGUCAUGACUUUUUUGAAGUCGUUAUUACAGAAGUAAAAAUAACAUAGAAAGCAGAGAGACACAGUCAAACCUAUUAAUUAAGGGUUGGAGCCAAGGACAGAGACUUGAAAACUCAUGAGGAAACCACUAACAGAGGGCCA
rnacentral:lncRNA from 10 species